GGGCUGGGGCUCAGUGGUAGAGCGCUUGCCUGGCAGGCGGAGGCACUGGGUUCGAUCCUCAGCACCACA
rnacentral:tRNA from 1 species